AUGAUGGGAGCUAAGGUUACAUGGACUGACACUAGUGUAACUGUUACUGGCCCACCGUGUCAGCCCUUUGGAAGGAAACACUUGAAGGCUAUCGAUGUCAACAUGAACAAAAUGCCUGACGUGGCCUUGACUCUUGUUGUUGUUGCCCUCCUUGCCGAUGGUCCAACUGCUAUCAGAGAUGUUGCCUCCUAGAGAGUGAAGGAAACCGAAAGAAUGGUUGCGAUCCGGACCAAGCUGACGAAGCUGGGAGCAACGGUGGAGGAAGGCCCAAACUACUGCAUCAUCAUGCCACCGGAGAAGAUGAACGUCACAGUGAUCGACACGUACGACGACCACCGGAUGGCGAUGGCUUUCUCCCUGGCGGCCUGCGCCGAGGUGCCAGUCACCAUCAGGGACCCCGGGUGCACCCGCAAGACCUUCCCCAACUACUUCGACGUGCUAAGCACCUUCGUCAAG
rnacentral:rRNA from 1 species